AUUGUAGUAUAUAAUAAUUAUGAAAGCAAAAAAUUAUGGCGGUAUUUUAAGCUUUUCAGAGGAAUUUGCUCUUUAAUGGAUAAAACACCAAAAUCUUACUUAAAUUUGUUAAACCAACUUGUAUACCACUAUUAAAACAAUUAUUAGCUCUAAUUGUUAAUAUUUAAGAUUUUAAAAUUAAUUAAAAUUAAGUCAAGGUGCAGUAAAAAUUUAAGAAUGAAGUGAAUUACAUUACUUUAAAGAGAGAAAAAAUUAAAUAAAAUUUAGGAUUUGAAAGUAAAAUUAAAAUAGAAUGUUAAUUUGAAUUAAGCUCUAAAAUAUGUAC
rnacentral:rRNA from 1 species